rnacentral:lncRNA from 1 species
UUUUCGAGAGUGAUGUCAACCUUGUACUGGAAGCUGUGGGAGCAGAAGGUCCUCACCGGCAUUGAAACUGAAACAUACUUCUGUUUACCUGGAGGGUCUUGCUGCCCAAAACCAGGCUUUUGCCUAAGGAGAGAACUGAGGCUGCUGGUUAAGCCAGAGGAAGUGGACAAGAUGAUGAUGGCACCAAGGAAAACAAAGAAAAAGAGUUAAAGGAGACCCAAGAGGUAAAGAUCUACCUAACCCCACCAC